rnacentral:rRNA from 1 species
AGUGAACGCUGGCGGUAGGCCUAACACAUGCAAGUCGAACGGCAGCACAGUAAGAGCUUGCUCUUACGGGUGGCGAGUGGCGGACGGGUGAGGAAUAAAUCGGAAUCUACUUUUUCGUGGGGGAUAACGUAGGGAAACUUACGCUAAUACCGCAUACGACCUACGGGUGAAAGCAGGGGAUCUUUGGACCUUGCGCGAUUGAAUGAGCCGAUGUCGGAUUAGCUAGUUGGCGGGGUAAAGGCCCACCAAGGCGACGAUCCGUAGCUGGUCUGAGAGGAUGAUCAGCCACACUGGAACUGAGACACGGUCCAGACUCCUACGGGAGGCAGCAGUGGGGAAUAUUGGACAAUGGGCGCAAGCCUGAUCCAGCCAUACCGCGUGGGUGAAGAAGGCCUUCGGGUUGUAAAGCCCUUUUGUUGGGAAAGAAAAGCAGCAGGUUAAUACCCCGCUGUUCUGACGGUACCCAAAGAAUAAGCACCGGCUAACUUCGUG